AUGAUAUGAUAGCGUUGCCAAGUCGCAGGGAAAACAAAGUCAGGGAAGGGGCGUUAGGGUUUCCAAUUCCGACUGCAAAUUGUGACGAAGAAGAAUAAAGAUGUGGCACGAAGCAAGGAGAUCGGAGAAGAAAGUGCAUGAUAUGAUGGACGCAGCGCGUAAGAGAGCUCAGAGACGUGCCAUCUUUCUCGCUAAACGCCGUGGCGACCCUCAGCAGUCCAUUCAAGCCAUCGGCUCUCGCUGUCGUAUUUACCGUGAUGACGCCCUUUAUCAAGCCACCGAGGAUCAGCAGGGCCUGAUACCUUGGAACGGGAAACAUGACAUUCUGAUUGACAGAUUUGAUGGUCGUGCUCUUCUUGAUUUUAUACGAGAUUCUAGUUCCCGGCAUCGUCGGGCCCCAGAAAGAACAGAGGAAGAGGAGGAACUAGAAGAGUUUGUUAGUUUUCAGCGUUAUCGGGAUUUAAUUAAGCAUCGGCGUAGAGGAUUUAAGGACGAAGAGGGUCUGCAACAUGUUAAUCAGGAAAUGGAGGCUAAGACCACUGCUCUCCUUGGCUCUGACAGACCUCAAAAUUCUCUGCCUUCGGCGAGCAAGGGGUCGUAUUCCCAAGUGGCUUUCUCAUAUGACGGAGAGGGUAAAGACAAUCCUCACUUUUCUGAUGGUGAAGAAGAUGGUGAUGAUGAUGAGGAUGAUGAUGAGGAGGAAGAUUUUAACAGUGAUGAUAGCAACGACGAAGUGAUGGAGUCAAUUGCCAAAGAUUAUGGAGUGAAAAGGUAUGGAUGGCUUGUCUACAUGGACAAAAAGGCUAAGGAGGAAGAAAGGAGGCAAAGAGAAGUAAUCAAGGGAGAUCCUGCAAUAAGGAAGCUGAGUCGCAAAGAAAGACGGAAAGCUUCUCAAUUAGAAAGGGAGAGGGAAAGAGAAGCAGCCCGCAUUACCGGGAGCAGAGUUCUCCAUCAUGAUCCCUAUCGCGAGUCUCGACGGAGUCCAACAUACGAAGCUUAUUCACGUUCCAGAAGGUCCAGGUCAAGGUCUCUCUCAUACUCGCCUCCUCAUUCAAGACGCUAUGAACGUGGAGGAAAAUCUGAUGAUAUUUACCAAGGCAAGGAGAGAGCUCCGAAAAUAGAGUAUAUCACUGAAUUUGGUGGCGCAGACGAUGAGAAUGAGCCUAAAUUUGAAGGAUAUUCUCCACCACCGUCUCCUCCGUCUCGAACUGAUCCAUUAAACCGGCCAUCAGCUGGUCGUAUUCUUGAGGCCCUUCAUGUUGAUCCUGCAUCUGGGGUAUCUCUUGAUAAGGAUAAGAGUGCACAAAUGUUGAAAACACCAGCAAGUGCAUCCUCAGCAUUAUCAAAGUUAAACAAGACAACUAGCAGUUCAAGCCUCUCUAAACAGCAGGGUGAAAAGAAGGAAACACCUCAGGAGCGACUUAAGCGGAUAAUGAGCAAACAAUUGAACAAACAAAAAGCUAGUUAUUAUUUUUUCCUCUUCUUUGGGUCUUUGCAGUGCAUCCUCAGCAUUAUCAAAGUUAAACAAGACAACUAGCAGUUCAAGCCUCUCUAAACAGCAGGGUGAAAAGAAGGAAACACCUCAGGAGCGACUUAAGCGGAUAAUGAGCAAACAAUUGAACAAACAAAUCAAGAAAGAUACAGCUGUUGAGAUGGCCAAGAAAAGAGAACAAGAGAAACAGAGGCUUGAAAAGCUUGCAGAAACAAGCCGAGUAAGUCGGUAUCGUCGCCGAAGCCGUAGUAGAAGUUACAGCCGUUCCCCUCGAAGGCACCGACUUAGCCGGAGUCCUAUCCGAGAAAGGAGUUCUCGUAGAUACCGCUCACGGUCGCGGACUCGCUCUCACUCACGCUCACAUUCACCGUCGCGCUCUUACUCUAGUUCACACUCGCUUUCUCGUUCCAUUUCCCGGUCUCGUUCUCCUCGGGUUAGGAGGCUAUCGAGACACUGAUACUUCAGCUAUGAGUGGAUGCAUAAACGUGCCCAAGCUGAUCGUUAGUCAGCUGUGUGCGGUAUAGAUUGCUGAUAUAUUAGACUGGUAAACUUAUGGUGAAGCUGAAUUUGGCUGAUGGUGGGAACUUAUAUUCUUGUGUUGUGUUUAUUUGUUUUUGGUUUCUUUUGAAGUUUUAGAAGAUAUUUGUGUGACAAGUAAAUUUUUUCAGCUUCUUUGAAGACAGUAUAACAUUUCGUACGUGUGUUGAGAAA